ncrna:unclassified sequences Type-P5 twister ribozyme ribozyme sequence
AGCUGACGGCGGCCCCGUUGGGGGCCGUAAAGCUGCCAGGCAGAAGGUCCGAAGCCCUA